AGCUUUCUCAAAGAUCAAUGCAAACUUCACUUACCAUUGGGUUUUGUUGAUCCAUCCUUCAAGAAGCUAAUUUAAAUUUCUCCUCGCCAGGUAAUAUGGUAAGUCACUACUCUAUGUCAAUAUUUGCUUUAAGUUCUUUUCCACUUGAUGGAGUUCAUGAGAUGUGUAAAGCAUUUACUUGGCUCUUCAAGAGUGGGUUAUAUAUGUAUGUAAAAACAGAAAGGAAAUGAGUGUAAACUUUUCCAAAAGGCCUUUCUGAAAUGAAUGAUCAUUUUAUUAUUUUCUCAGAUAAAAUUAACUCAGUCACUUGAAAGAAAUACAACACUCAUAUUUAAUGCAAAGUAUUGAGAUGAGAGAAUGAAAUAUAUCUGUAUUUAUAAUUCAUCAUAACAUUUUACAUUCAAUUUUCACUUUGCCAAAAUGCAUCCAUCACUGCAUUUUAGAAAAAUAGAGGGAUUCUUAAUACUUCAUGAAUAAAAGUCUUAAGGGAAAGAAUUCCCUCUGGAAGCAGUUUUAUUUCAAUACAAGUUGUACCUUCAAUACUUUGAUGCAGACAAAAAUCUCAAAGAAAAAGUUUAAACGUUGCAAUGUCCUCUUACUAUUUAUAAGAAAAGUAAUUCCCUAUACUUAGAAACACAGCUCCAAUAGUCACCUCCCACCACUGAGCCCAUCAACUUUAGGCCCUGGCUAUAGGAUGACAGGAGUUGACCAGUGAAAGGAUAACAUUUCUGAGGGUUCAUUUUACUCUCGAGUCACUUUUGCAUGAAAUGAUAGCAUGCCUUUUGGGGAUUGGCCUCAAUGCAUCUCUUUGUAAAUUACUUACUAUAUAUCAGUCUUGAUUCAGUAGACUAUAAAAUAUAGGGGUUUUUUAUUGGCAAGAACUUAGGGAAUUUUUACAAUGGAAAAUAAUGCUCCCCUGCAGGAAAACUUAAAAGAAUUAAGAGUUAUGAGGCUACAAGGAGAAAGUGACCAGGUCUUCCCUUGCAAAGCCUGCCCUAUCUUCUAUCCAGAUCUCCCAUGUACGACCUUCUAAAGCUCCUACCCAAGGAAAGAAGAUUGAAGCUGUAAAAAUAAUUUUAACUCAAACUUCUUUGAUUCAAUUCACAUAAUUAACAAUGGCUCAAGGUUUCUUUUUCCCUUAAAAGCACUUUUUUCCUAAUUGCCUGAUUUUCUAAUAGGAAUUGGAAACUUCCAUUUGAAUCCUCUCAGCCUGAUUUCAUCUAUGUCCUAUGUUGGAGACUAGAAAACUGGAUUGCAUAUUAAACUUACCCUGCUUUUUAUUAAACUUGUCUCAAAGCACAGAGCUCAAGUAAUUUACACCAGAAACGCCAAGGGUGGAGAUGCCCCAGCUGCUGGUGAAGAUGCAUGAACAGAUUCCACCACCAACUGUACAUUUUGGAAAAUAAACUUUAUUAAAUCAAAAAUAAA
rnacentral:lncRNA from 1 species